GACGAACGCUGGUGGCGUGCCUAAUACAUGCAAGUCGAACGCACUCUCGCUUAGAUUGAAGGAUUUUGCUCCUGAUUGAUAAACAUUUGAGUGAGUGGCGGACGGGCGUGUAACACGUGGGUAACCUGCCCUAAAGUGCGGGUAAACAUUUGGAAACAGAGGUGAAUACUGCAUAAAACCUAACACCGCAUGGUGUAGGUUUGAUAGAUGGUUUCGGCUAUCACUUUAGGAUGGACGCGCGGGGCAUUAGUUAGUUGCUGAGGUAAAGGCUCACUAAGACGGUGAUGGAUUGCCGACGGGAGAGGGUGAUAGGCGACACGGGAGCUGGAACACGGACCAUGCUACUGAGGGACGGAGCAGAAGCGAAUCGUCCGCAGUGGACGAAAGUCUGAUGGAGCAACGCCGCGUGAGAGAAGAAAGUUCUCGGAUCGUAAAACUCUGUUGUUGGAGAAGAAUGUAUCUGGUAGUAACUGAUCAGGUAGUGACGGUAACCAGCAAGAAAGCCACGGCUAACUACGUG
rnacentral:rRNA from 1 species